rnacentral:tRNA from 1 species
GCGGGUGUGGUGAAAUUGGUAGACGCGCUAGACUCAAAAUCUUGUGUUCGAAAGGACGUGUCGGUUCGAGUCCGACCACCCGCACCA